rnacentral:rRNA from 1 species
AACCCUUGUCCUUAGUUACCAGCACGUUAUGGUGGGCACUCUAAGGAGGACUGCCGGUGGACAAACCGGAGGAAAGGUGGGGAUGACGUCAAGUCAUCAUGGCCCUUACGGCCUGGGCUACACACGUGCUACAAUGGUCGGUACAAAGGGUUGCCAAGCCGCGAGGUGGAGCUAAUCCCAUAAAACCGAUCGUAGUCCGGAUCGCAGUCUGCAACUCGACUGCGUGAAGUCGGAAUCGCUAGUAAUCGUGAAUCAGGAUGUCACGGUGAAUACGUUCCCGGGCCUU